rnacentral:pre_miRNA from 1 species
UGAUGAUGAUGAUGAUGAUGAUGAUGAUGAUGAUGCUAACAUGUUAUUAAAAAAAUACUGUGGUUAUUAAGUGUAUCAUCAUCAUCAUCAUCAUCAUCAUAUACU